rnacentral:rRNA from 1 species
AUGAAUAGCGUUGAGAAGCGCGUCAUCAAUCGGCAGUGGCAGUGCCUCAUCUGCUGCCUCAUCGAACGCCUCGUCCCAAAUCUUCAUUUUCUCAGGCCCGAGCCGCUUCUCGAGUUUCUCACCAUCAGCGUUGUCACCCAAGAAGACCUUUUCCCGCUCGUUCACGUCAGCAGGCCGACCACGGCCACCGUCCCGGCCACCUCCGCGGCCCCCACGCCCCCCUCUGCCGCGUCCACCGCCAGUAUCGCCACGGCCAAGGAGCUCCAAAGCACGCUUCACAGCCUCCUGUGGCGCCAAUCUCGGCUGCCCGCUUGGAGCCGAAGGGGUCGGAGCUUUCCUUGCCUCGCGGCUUCGAACGAAGCGGUUCUCCUCGGGGGCCCUGUCCACCGGUGGCUGCACACGCGGCACGCCGCGGCCCGCGCCGGAGGUAGGGAUCGAACGCGGCGGCUCGGAUGA